rnacentral:rRNA from 1 species
UUAGUGCAUGGAAUAAUAGAACAGGACCUUGGUUCUAUUUUGUUGGUUUCGGAACCCCGAGGUAAUGAUUAAUAGGGACAGCUGGGGGCAUUCGUAUUGCGACGUUAGA